GUAUGUAUGUAUGUAUGUGGGUAUGCCUCUAUUAGUCAACAUGACUAUAAAACCUGGGAGCAACUGCUGUGCACAAGGUUGAAGCUAAAGGAGUGUGUGUGUGUGCGUGUGUGUGUGUGUGUGUGUGUGUGUGUGUGUGUGUGUGUGUGUGUUUGUGUGUGGUUGAAGCUAAAGGAGUGAAGCUAAAGGAGACAAGUUCUUCAGGACUCCUUCAGAAAACCAGAAUGUUUGAGAUACAAGUCCCUCCCACAUCGAACAUAACAUUACUUUUGAAUGUAACAUUGAUGUAAUAAAUUAGUUGCUAUGCCUGCUUAGUUAGUGUGAGGUGACCAACAGCUAGCUAGCCAGCUCUGUUUUAGAGUAAGAGGGAGAGAGAGACUCCAGCCCUAACUGAAGUUACAGAUCUGAAUAGCAUGUAAACAACUGUUGGAUUAGCGAGAAAGGGACUAUCAUAUUUCAUAUAUCAUAUAUCAUAUACAUGGAUUAGCAAAAAAGGGACUAUCAUAAGUGUAAGGAGAGGGAGAAAGGGACUAUCAUGUAAGGAGAGAGAGCUAUGAGUUUUUUUAGCAGAACCAGUGGAAGUUUGUUCAUAAAAGUAACUUUUUUGUCUUGUUGUAUUUUAUAGGAAGUGGUAUUUUGUCUUCACAACUCUGAAGCAAAUUGCAGGCGCUCUGAACUGGAGCAAGGGUACUUUUUAUUGCAUGCUGGAUAUAAGUAAAUAAAUACAUUAUCUGGUUUAUUUACUGUUUGUUUUCACAGACUGCACUCACAUCACAAUCAGGCAGUCACUUCUUAUUUACACUUACAUUUACAUUUAGUCAUUUAGCAGACGCUUUUAUCCAAAGCGACUUACAUAUGUGCGACUUACGAUGUAUACACAUUUUACAUUUACACUGAUGGCACACUGCACAUCAGGAGCAAUUAGGGGUUCAGUGCCUUGCUCAAGGACACUUUGACAGGGAAUCGAACUAGCAACCUUCUGAUUACUAAACGACUUCUUUACCUCCUGUACCACUGUCGCCCAG
ensembl:lncRNA